UGGCCAUCCACGUUGCCACCACGAAACCUCGUCCGUGGAUUUUACGUGGAUGAAUUCCACGAACCUAUUUUGCCAUUUUUUGUAGUGCACUCGUUUGGAAAUACUUUCCCUUUCGAUAUUUGACCAUUUUUGAGCAGAUUUAGUUUGAAUUUUUGGGUUUUUAGGAUAAAAUUAACGUUCGUGGAACUCACGUGGAUGAUCCCCAAUUUCCCAAAUUGAGUUUUUGAAGCUCUUUUUGUGCCUAAAUUAUCGGUAAAUGAAUUAAUUGCUCCUCUAAAGCUAUUUAAUUUAAUUUUAUUUUAAUUUUUUGUAAAUUUUACUUCGUGGAAGGGUCUCCGUGGAUGCUCCGUGGAUGUUCCACGGACGAUCCACGGAACUCCGUGGAUGCUCCGUGGAACUUACGUGGAUGAUCCCCAAUUUCCACAAAUCGUGUUUUUCAUUACUCUUUUGUGUCUAAAUUAUCAGUAAAUGAAUUUGAAGUGCUCAUCCAAAACUAUUUUAGUUGAUUUUUGUAAAUUUUGUUAAAUUUCCCAUCGUGGAAAAUUUUUCGUGGAUGCUCCGUGGAAAUAACUCACGUGGAUGAUCCCCAAUUUCCCAAAAUCAUGUGUUUAUAACCAAUAUAUGUGUCUGAAUAAUCGGUGAAUGAAUUAGGUGCUUCUCCAAAACUAUUUUAUUUGAUUUUUCUUUAAAAUUUUGUGUAAUUUCACUUCGUGGAAAGGUCUACGUGGAUGCUCCGUGGAUGAUCCGCGAAUGAUCCACGGAACUCUCUUAACGCAAAAAUGAAAAAUAGCAUGUAUUUGAAGCAAAUUGUUCAGUUCAUGAGCUGCCCCUUUUCGCUUUUUUAAAUUCAUUAGUCAUGUCAUUCUUGUUUAAAUUUCUAAAUUUUGGAAAUUGGUUAAAAGUGUCCGUGGAGUUUUCGUGGAUGAAUCCCCGGACACUUGAAAAAUUUUUGGUUCGUUGGUAUUUCCUAUAGGUACGUUAAAUUGUUAGUAUUAUUUAAUAUACCAUCAUCAAAGUUAAUUGCUAGCUCAGAAAACUCAAUAUUUCCAAAUAUAUUCCGAAAUCUACACUCGCCACCUCGCCAGAAUAGGCGCAGCCGUGAUUUAAACUUUUGAAAAGCGCGCGCUCUCUUACUGGCCGCAGCAAGCCAAUGAGCGCUGCCGCUUGCCUGUUGCUGCUGUUUGUUGACAGACGACCGCGACUACUACCCUACCGCGAGCGCGCGAGCCGAGCGCAACGAAAAAGCCGUUGGACGACGCCGCCGCGUAAUUAAUGUCAGUUUUCGGCCACAAUUUCGCCACUAAGUCGGCCAGCAAUGUUCUUAAGUCGAUGAUUGCUGUGAAAUCCGAAUCCUGUUCAACCCUUCCAGCAAAGAUGCCGCAAAUCAAAGACCUGUGCCAGAGGCUGACUUUUUGUGUGACAACAAUGCAACUCGAGCAAGCUGUGUCCUGAAACUUUGCGAUCCCCACACACUAUGUAUCUAAUUAUUGAAAGGAUGUCUGGUUUGCAGCUGAAGUGCAAGAUCAAAACAAGCUAACAGGCUUGUAUACUCUGGCUGUGGCAGAUCCGGCCGAGGAUGUCAAGACGUCAAGACACAGUCAUGGAUGGGAAAAGCUUCCAGCACGUUGGUUUCCAGCCUGCACUGAACUUAUGCUGCAUUUCUAGUCUUAAGUCUGCUGGUGCUAUUUAUGACUCGGAUGGAAUCGACGCGACUCCGGAGCUCAAUGAUGAAUAGCUUACAUAAUUAUGUGACAGGACUUCUGAUUGCUGGACCACAACUUUGACGAAGAUUGAGUGGUUCAUGUGUAAUUUUGUUUUUAAGUGAGGCUAUUUUUUAGCUAAAUUGUUAUAUGUUAUGUAUAGAGAAUUCAUUUUAAGGCUAAUAUCUAUUGCAUACACAUACCUGUGUUCACUGUAAUGUUAGUAUUAAAAUUAAAUUAAAUUCCAAACAUUAUUUUAGUGAAUACAGGUAUGUGUGCAAUAAAUUUAUGUUUAAGCUGACAUUCAUUCAUUGAAUUUUCUUUGCCAGAAACGUUUAGGCAGCUGGAAAUUUUAAAUUAAAUAUUUUUGAUAGCCAUUAUAGGAUUUAAAUUUGCCAUUAUUGUAAGCCUUUAGUGUUCGAAGUCGGCAUAGCCGUACAUACUUCCAAUUUAAAUUCCCAUCAACUGAGGUCAAGGAUUUAAUCAUGCUAAUGUAUUUUAUGGGUUUUAAAUAAUUUAUUUUGAUUCCGAGAACCAAAAUCAGUUCAGCCAAUCUCCGUAGAAACAUGGAAAUAAUAUUUUUUUCAAAUCUGACGUUUCGAAGGUGAUUGGCUAGACUGACUUUUGCUUUUAGUACAUCAAAUCAAAUCAAUUAAAGGGUUUAAAGGGAGCGGUAAGAUCGUGUGUCUUUAUUUUCUCUGGAAGUGCAUUAAAAUCAAAAGUAACAACAGGCACCAUUUUUCGGGAGCAUUAUUACACUAAGGGGUUUUCGAAGCUUGUGAAUGUUAAAAUUUUUAGCUUUUUUAAUUAAUUGUCUUCUCUUUUUUCUCAUAACUUUAUGGACACUAUACUGUAAAUUGAUAAAAUUCUCUAUACUGAUCUAUUGUUACUGUUCAUGACUGUGUCAUCUUUUGUAAUCGAAAUUGUAUAAGUAAUAAAUAAAAAUUUUAAAAUUCAAAUGAAUGAAUUUCAUUUGCGAUAUUAUUACCUAGUAAAAUGAAACACGAUCCACGAAAAAUCCCCAGCGAUUCCACGUAGCCGUUCCACGGGGAAUCUCCAUAGAUCAUCCCCGUGGAAUCUUCAUAGACUAUCCCCGUGGAAUCUUCAUAGAUCAUCCACGUGGAUACCACGUAUUUCGGGCGGACAAUUUCUACGGGGA